GAUGAAAACGUAGCGAAAUGCGAUAAGUAGUGUGAAUUGCAGAAUUCAGUGAAUCAUCGAAUCUUUGAACGCACAUUGCGCCCCUUGGUAUUCCAUGGGGCAUGCCUGUUCGAGCGUCAUUUGUACCUUCAAGCUCUGCUUGGUGUUGGGUGUUUGUCUCGCCUCUGCGUGUAGACUCGCCUCAAAACAAUUGGCAGCCGGCGUAUUGAUUUCGGAGCGCAGUACAUCUCGCGCUUUGCACUCAUAACGACGACGUCCAAAAGUACAUUUUUACACUCUUGACCUCGGAUCAGGUAGGGAUACCCGCUGAACUUAAGCAUAUCAAUAAGCGGAGGA
rnacentral:misc_RNA from 1 species